UACGUAGGGUGCGAGCGUUAAUCGGAAUUACUGGGCGUAAAGCGUGCGCAGGCGGUUUUGUAAGUCUGAUGUGAAAGCCCCGGGCUUAACCUGGGAAUGGCAUUUGGGACUGCAAGGCUUGAGUGUGUCAGAGGGGGGUAGAAUUCCACGUGUAGCAGUGAAAUGCGUAGAGAUGUGGAGGAAUACCGAUGGCGAAGGCAGCCCCCUGGGAUAACACUGACGCUCAUGCACGAAAGCGUGGGGAGCAAACAGG
rnacentral:rRNA from 1 species